rnacentral:rRNA from 1 species
GACGAACGCUGGCGGCGUGCUUAACACAUGCAAGUCGAACGGAAAGGCCCUGCUUUUGUGGGGUGCUCGAGUGCGAACGGGUGAGUAACACGUGAGUAACCUGCCCUUGACUUUGGGAUAACUUCAGGAAACUGGGGCUAAUACCGGAUAGGAGCUCCUGCUGCAUGGUGGGGGUUGGAAAGUUUCGGCGGUUGGGGAUGGGCUCGCGGCUUAUCAGCUUGUUGGUGGGGUAGUGGCUUACCAAGGCUUUGACGGGUAGCCGGCCUGAGAGGGUGACCGGCCACAUUGGGACUGAGAUACGGCCCAGACUCCUACGGGAGGCAGCAGUGGGGAAUAUUGCACAAUGGGCGGAAGCCUGAUGCAGCAACGCCGCGUGCGGGAUGACGGCCUUCGGGUUGUAAACCGCUUUCGCCUGUGACGAAGCGUGAGUGACGGUAAUGGGUAAAGAAGCACCGGCUAACUACGUG